GAUGAACGCUGGCGGCGUGCCUAAUACAUGCGAGUCGAGCGAACGGACGAGAAGCUUGCUUCUCUGAUGUUAGCGGCGGACGGGUGAGUAACACGUGGAUAACCUACCUAUAAGACUGGGAUAACUUCGGGAAACCGGAGCUAAUACCGGAUAAUAUUUUGAACCGCAUGGUUCAAAAGUGAAAGACGGUCUUGCUGUCACUUAUAGAUGGAUCCGCGCUGCAUUAUCUAGUUGGUAAGGUAACGGCUUACCAAGGCAACGAUGCAUAGCCGACCUGAGAGGGUGAUCGGCCACACUGGAACUGAGACACGGUCCAGACUCCUACGGGAGGCAGCAGUAGGGAAUCUUCCGCAAUGGGCGAAAGCCUGACGGAGCAACGCCGCGUGAGUGAUGAAGGUCUUCGGAUCGUAAAACUCUGUUAUUAGGGAAGAACAUAUGUGUAAGUAACUGUGCACAUCUUGACGGUACCUAAUCAGAAAGCCACGGCUAACUACGUG
rnacentral:rRNA from 1 species